rnacentral:tRNA from 1 species
GUAUAUAUAAUUUAAAUAAAAUAUUAAACUGUGACUUUACUUAUGAGAUU